rnacentral:hammerhead_ribozyme from 1 species
AUUUCUGACGAGUCCAAAAAUAGGACGAAAUGCGCAUCCUGGAU